rnacentral:rRNA from 1 species
AUGGCAGAUCAUGCAGUCGUUCACUGGUUGAACACCACGGUCGCGCCUGAUCUUCUGGACGUCGUCAUGGCGGACAGGGACAUCGCGCUCACCGUCUGGAUGGCAAUCGAUGGCAUCUUCCGACACAACCAUCUCGCGCGGGCCGUCUACGUCGAGGCCGAGUACCACGCUGUGGUGCAGGGCGACAUGACAGUCAUGCAGUACUGCACCAAGCUAAAGACGUACGCCGACCAGCUCCGCGACCUCGGCCAGCCAGUGACGGAGUCGCGACAUGUCUUUCAUCUCCUGCGCGGCCUCAACCGUCAGUACCAUGGCGCCAUCCCCCACAUCAUAUCGCAGUCACCGCUGCCCUCGCUCCUCCAGACGCACUUCUUCCUUCUCAUGGAGGAGCAUCGUGCCGAGCAAACCGCGCGUCUACAGGGCAUGCAUGCGCUCGUCGCCGGGCGUGGCCCUGCUUAACCACCUGCCCCGGCCCCAGCCGCGCCUCCGGCUGCGCCUGACGUCAACAACGGUGGCCGUGCACGUGGCGGGCAUGGGUGUCGCUGCGGACGCGACAACGGCCCCGCUGGUGCGCCCCUGCCAGCGCCGCCCCCGUGCGUUACUGGCCUGCCCGUUCGCGCAUCGGGCGCCAACUCCUGGACCGUGCUUGUCCAGGCCUGGCCCAUGCCGUGGCAUGCCCCUGGCUCUGGCGUGCUCGGUCCGCGCCCCGGCACGCCGCACCAAUAG